rnacentral:lncRNA from 1 species
UAAAAAAAAGUAGCCGCCGUGGUCUAGGGUUACGGUUCCGGUGGCUUUUUCAGCACCGGAACCGGGGUCUUUGUUUUUUCUUUGCUUUAGUUUCGUUUUACCUUCCUUUCCAACAUGUCUGAAUCUUUUUCUUCCAACGGUUUCAGAUCUAGAUUUUCAGAUCUAGAUUUAUAAAGUCUAAAUCUUUUCUCCUUUGGGAUUUUGCUGCUUGUUUUUGUCUCUUUCAAUUGCAGCUUCAGUUCUGGUCGUUCUAGCCAUGGCAGAGGCAGGUUCUAAUCGAUCAUUCACCGCCUCAGAUGUAGUCUUCUCACCUUCGAAGUUCUCGAUCUCCUUCCUUUCUUCAUGAGACUUUUCCUUUGGGUCUCGGGGUGUUGGAUUUGUCUCACCGCCGUUCUUGGAUUUAUUUCCGUUUGUGGGUUUGUAGUCUCAGAUCUGUUAAUUUUAUCUAUGAUUUAGACUUUGUAAUUUUAUUUUUGAGUCUUUGGAAGAUGAGUCUGUGAAGCUUUGGUUCAGAUGUUGUGUUUUUACUUGUUUUGGGUUUUUUCCCCUUUGUUUCUCCGUCAUUGUCUCCGGGAGUUAUCAUUUGGUCGCCGACUUAGUUCCUGGAAGGAUUGUGUUCCUUACCGGCCUUUGUAAUCCACCCUUACCGGCCUUAGGAGUAUCUUUACUAUGCAUAGCUAGUAUUGUUGUUUCUCCUUUAUCAUCUUGUAGUAAACAUCUUGGAUUAAAUUCUGAAUUGGAUUGUUUAAAAUAAAUUCGGUAUAAGAGUAGAUAACCAUGCCGUUCAUUUUGGAAUUUGACUUCUGGUAAAUGCACGUUUAGCACUAAUGUGUUGAGUAUGGUCGGAUCAUGAAGACUAACUUGAAAAUUAGGUGCGCAAUUAAAGUAGACUGCCCCAUUACAUAAAUUUGAUUGUACUACACCAAGAAGUGAGUCUUCAAAUUUUAGAAGGGUUUUGUCUCUUAAUAACAUUAAAAUGGGUGAAUCAAUUCAUGUUCUUGAUAAUGGUUUUAUUGCUAUUUGAACUAAUCCGAAAUGAAGAUAGUUGAAUCCUUUUUGCUUAUAUUUAUCUAGAGCUAUUGAUGAUAAUAAUUUAAUCUCUUCGAAUUCAUGUUGUAGAGAUAUUGUUUGUUCAUGUUCUUUUAUUGAAUAAGCUGUUUUAAAAUCAAAUGUUCCGAUUUGAUAUAUAUAUUCAGCAUUAAUAUGUGGUAAGGAAUCCCUUGAUAUUUCUUUAUUAAAUGUUGAUAUUUUUGAUAUUAUUUCUCUUGAAUUUAUUGUUGAUUUAGAAGUUGAUGAUUGGCCGGAUUUUAACAGUUUUCUAAAUGAGGAUGCCAUUUUAAAUUUUUCAAAUCAAAUACAUCUUAGCAAGAGACUAACCUGUUUUACUUUGACACGGCUGCAGUUUACCAACGGUCUUACUGCCUUCCUUCUGAGGACUUGCUGCCUGGAACACCUUUGGCUUCAAUGUCUCGGUAAAAGAGGUUCGUUUCUUUCUAAAAGUUAAUUUU